rnacentral:rRNA from 1 species
GACGAACCGAGCGAACGUUGUUCGGAAUCACUGGGCUUAAAGGGCGCGUAGGCGGCGCAACAAGUCACUUGUGAAAUCUCCGGGCUUAACCCGGAGCGGCCAAGUGAUACUGUCGUGCUAGAGUGCGGAAGGGGCUACUGGAAUUCUCGGUGUAGCGGUGAAAUGCGUAGAUAUCGAGAGGAACACCUGCGGCGAAGGCGGGUAGCUGGGCCGACACUGACGCUGAGGCGCGAAAGCCAGGGGAGCGAACGGG